rnacentral:tRNA from 1 species
GGGUGGGUAGCUCAGGUGGCAGAGCAUCGGCCUUUUAAGCCGGUGGUCGAGGGUUCGAAUCCCUCCCCACUCA